UCAACUCAGAACCCUAACGACCAGUUCCGGGAACACAUGCCUUCUAGCCCAACAAAGCUACUGACCAAAUCAUCCAAGGAGAUAAUCACAUCUCAGCCAAAGGACUGAACUCAGACGAUCAGAACACAAAACCUGCCAUGAGGCAGCCGCACGAGACAAGAGACCGUGCUCAAAAUCACGUAAUACCCUAAGUCGUCCCAAGGGAGCCCACAACUACCCUCAGCGGCGGGCAGAACUGACGCGUAUUUUGCAGAUGACAACGCAGUGGUUCAGAUGCGGCGGGUCCCAAGGCCACACAGCUGGGAAGGUGACUGAACCUAGACUUAACUAGUAUUCCAAGUGGUGGAUACUUUCCAUUCUGCCUGGGCGAUAGCCCUUCGCCCGCGUAUUACACUCCGAGGCUGGCAAAACAGCAGGAAGAGAGCAAAGCUGGGCAGGGACGGGAAAGAGGGCAGGGAAUUUCUACUGCUUCCCGGCACUCGCCCCUACUCCACACCCCAGGUCGCUACUACGCGGCGGCCUCUACUUCCCCAAACUAGACUCCAGGGCGGGCGGGGGACCGAGGAGGCGUUCUCGCUGUCACCGAGAGUUCUCCAAGUUGGGGGCAGAAAAGGCGGCGAAUGAACAAAUGUACCCCCUAGGGUAAGGGCCACAAGGAGAAGUGCGGAGGUAACCGUCUGAGUGCGUUCACCGCGCCUCUUCCAUCUACAGCGCCUGCCCAGCCGCCUCUCCUCCCGGAGUCCCAUCCUCCCUUCCCCCACGCUUUCCCAUCCCAUCUCCCUGCAGCGCGGGUCCCGAGCUGCUCCGGAUCCCCAGCGCCGAGCUCUGGUCUUUCCAGACAACUCCAUCCCUUUGGAACCUGGUAUGGUAGCGGGGAGGUUAGGAGAAGGGACACUGAGGAAGAUAAAGAAGAAGCCAGUGGACUGGAGAGAAGGUGCGAACCGAAGGGGCAUGCGAGAGAGGAGCGGCGGGAAACCAGGCAAAGCCCUUAGGCUAUAGGGGGAUUCCCAGAAAGAAAAUCCGUUUCGCCUUUGAGAAACCACCGAUGCUCGCUGUCUAUCAACUGGAAAGUCUGUACAGCCUCCCAACAGAAUUCCUAGCGAGCAGUGGGGAGACUGGUCAGGGCCUAGAGCAUGCGUCCACGAGCUCCACUUCCCAACCCAAAUUCCAAGGCAGCAGAUGACCCUAAGCUCUCCGCCGGUGAUGAGAAAUUCAUUCUGGAAACUGAUUCUGACAAG